AACUGAUACUACCUGCGGGAACCUGCGGAGGGAUCAUUAACAAAUCAUACAACUGCAUGGCGUGCGAAAAGGUGAAAGCCUUCUUGCAUUCCUAUGCAAAUUUACCCCAAGCUUGACGACAUACAAUACAAAGUAUUGUGGUGUUGAUCAGCUUUGUGGUUGGGCAGGCCAGGCCUUUUUGGGGCUUGGGCUGUUCCGGACAUGAUAGGGUAUGUAAUGUGCUUUAUUGUGUCCACAUAG
rnacentral:misc_RNA from 1 species